UGCAGAGGGGGCAAGCGUUAUUCGGAAUUAUUGGGCGUAAAGGGCGCGUAGGCGGCUCGGUAAGCGUGUGGUGAAAGCCUGGGGCUCAACCCCGGGUCGGCCAUGCGAACUGUCGAGCUGGAGCACUGUAGAGGCAGGCGGAAUUCCGGGUGUAGCGGUGAAAUGCGUAGAUAUCGAGAGGAACACCUGCGGCGAAGGCGGGUUGCUGGGCCGACACUGACGCUGAUGCGCGAAAGCUAGGGGAGCGAACGGG
rnacentral:rRNA from 1 species